GCUUACGGCCAUACCACCCUGAACACGCCCGAUCUGAUCUCGGAAGCUAAGCAGGGUCGGGCCUGGUCAGUACUUGGAUGGGAGACCGCCUGGGAAUACCAGGUGCUGUAAGCU
rnacentral:rRNA from 1 species